rnacentral:rRNA from 1 species
GAUGAACGCUGACAGAAUGCUUAACACAUGCAAGUCAACUCUGGCGGACUGGCUAGUAACGCGUAAAGAACUUGCCUCACGGAUAGGGACAACAUUUGGAAACGAAUUCUAAUACCUGAAACUGUGAGAGCGCUUUGCGUCCCAUUAGCUAGUUGGAGAGGUAACGGCUCACCAAGGCGAUGAUGGGUAGCCGGCCUGGGAGGGUGAUCGGCCACAAGGGGACUGGGACACGGCCCUUAGUCAUACGGGAGGAAGGAGUGGGGAAUAGUGGACAAUGGGCCAAAGUAUGAUCAAGGAAUUCUGUGUGCAAGAUGAAGUUGUCGGAAUGUAAAGUGCUUUCAGUUGGGAAGCGGGACCAACAGAAGAAGUGACGGCUAAAUACGUGCCAGCAGCCGCGGUAAUAC